rnacentral:rRNA from 1 species
UUUGUCUUUUCAAUGAAGACUAGAACAAAAGAUUUCACAUUUUAAUAUCCAUUUCUAUUAAUUAUAAUUUAAAUUAAUUAAGGUGUUAAAAAUCACCUUACUUUAGAAAGACGACAAGACCCUAUUGAACUUAACUUAAGUUUAACUGGGGAAGUAAAUUAAUUAUUAUUUUAAUGUAAAAAAUUACAAAAAUAUCUAAAUAUUUAAUUAUCAAGUUACCAUAGGGAUAACAGAGUAAUUAAAUUUUAAAGAUCAUAUUAAAAAAAUAGAUUACAACCUCGAUGUUGAAUUAAUAUCCUAUAAUUAAGCAAAAAUAAUAAAAGGAAGUCUGUUCGACUUUUAAAAAAUUACAUGAUUUGAGUUCAGACCGGUGUAAGCCAGGUCGGUUUCUAUCUUCUAAACACUCUUUUAUAGUACGAAAGGACCUAAAAGUAUUAUAUUAUAGUAUAUUGGCAGAAUAAUGCAUUAGAAUUAGAAUCUAAUUAAACUAAC